rnacentral:rRNA from 1 species
CCUACGGGAGGCAGCAGUGAGGAAUAUUGGUCAAUGGACGAGAGUCUGAACCAGCCAAGUAGCGUGAAGGAUGACUGCCCUAUGGGUUGUAAACUUCUUUUAUAAAGGAAUAAAACGAGGCACGUGUGCCUUUUUGCAUGUACUUUAUUAAUAAGGAUAGGCUAAAUCCGUGCCAGCAGCCGCGGUAAUUCGGAGGAUCCGAGCGUUAUCCGGAUUUAUUGGGUUUAAAGGGAGCGUAGAUGGGUAGUUAAGUCAGUUGGGAAAGUUUGCGGCGCAACCGUAAAAUUGCAAUUGAUACUGGCAGUCUUGAGUACAGUUGAGGUAGGCGGAAUUCGUGGUGUAGCGGUGAAAUGCUUAGAUAUCACGAAGAACCCCGAUUGCGAAGGCAGCUUACUAAACUGUGACUGACAUUGAUGCUCGAAAGUGUGGGUAUCAAACAGGAUUAGAUACCCUUGUAGUC